UGAGGAUCUCCUGCAGUGCCACAGGAGCUCUUCUGUCCUGCCUUUCUUUGCAGCUGAACCUGCUGGUGAAGGUGGUGCAGCUUCCCAAGCCACAUCCAGGACUGAGGCUCUGGGAGAUGCUGAGGGUGUGUCUCCAGGGAGGACUUCUCCAGCUCCUUUGCUGAUUCCUACAGAGAAGCCUGCCUCCCAUCGCAGAGUGGAUGGUGAGGCUGUACAGAAGGCGGCAUUUCCCAAAGGAAGCACUGGCUCCAUGCCAGCCUCGGCUGCAGGAAGAGA